CCUGAUGCCAUCACUCUUUUUAUAUAUGUAGAUUCACAUUUAGAUAUAAUCAUAUAUAUAUAUAUUUAUAUAGAAAAAAAUCAUAUAUAUAAAUAAAUAUAUGUAUAUUUAUAUAUAAACCUUUAUACUUAUAUAUAUAUAUAUGUGUGUGUGUGUGUGUGCAGAGAAGCAAGCACAGUUACAGAAUGUAUUGCUCUGUGGAUCUAUGGAUGUCUCUAUCCUUUGGGGCUUUACCUAGUCCGAGGCAGGACACCCUCAGUCCCGACUUGCCGAGGUUUCUAGACGGAGGAGGAGGAGGAGAAGGGAUAUUAUUAUAACAGGGAAAUAUUAAUAGAUCGGCAUAAACAAAAGGCGAGGAACAGGCACACCAUUUGCCAGCCCGGGGGCGAUGCCUGCCUUCCUUCCUCCUUCCUUCCUUGCGCGGAGCAGAUGUCGCCCCGGCUUCCCCGGCUUUGCCAGUUUCCAAAAAAAGAAAGAGAGAGAGAGAGAGAGAGAGAGAGAGAGAGAGGAAGAACGAACACAUGAACGAAUGAACGAGAAAAAACAGGCUCCGAUCUCGUCCAGAUGGGGGAACCUCGGCUCCUCGGGGUUGAGGACCUGGAUUGCACUCCAGCCUAUUAUACACGACUGUCAUUCAUAUCUAUCUAUAUAUCUAUAUAUAUGAUGGACUACAACUCCCAUCGUUCUCCAUCACCCCCAUUGACCCUAUAUGAACUACAAUUCCCAUCAUGCCCCACGAUCCCUCCUCCGGUUGACUCCAGACUGGACUACUGUGGAUGGACUACAACUCCCAUCAUUCUCUACCUUUCCUCAAGAUCAUGGACUACAACUCCCAUCGUUCUCUAUUGCUCUCCUCUUAAUUCGAAGCCAAGACCUGGACGUGGGUGGACUACAACUCCCAUCGUUCUCUACCUUUCCUCAAGAUCAUGGACUACAGCUCCCAUCAUUCUCUAUCGCUCUCCUCUUAAUUCUAAGCCAAGACCUGGACGUGGGUGGACUACAACUGCCAUCGUUCUCUACCAUUCUUCAAGAUCGCAGUGCGGGUGGACUACAACUCCCAUCAUUCUCUAUCACUCCUCUCGAAAACCUGAAACUGAUAGUAGACUACAACCCCCAUCACCCUCCCAUCCCAUUAACCCACAACCUAUAUGUUGGCGGACUACAACUCCCAUCAUCCCUCCCGUUGACCCAAGACCUAGAUGUGAGUCGAUUACAACUCCCAUCAUUCUCUAUCACCCCUCCCAUUAACCAAAUACCUAGAUGUGGGUGGACUGCAACUCCCAUCACUCUCCUGUUAAUCCAAGACCUAGAUGUGAGUCUACUACAACUCCCAUCAUCCCUUCCGUUGACCCAGGAAUUAGAUAUGGGAGGACUACAACUCCCAUCACUCUCCCGUUAA
rnacentral:lncRNA from 1 species